rnacentral:rRNA from 1 species
AUUGAACGCUGGCGGCAGGCCUAACACAUGCAAGUCGAGCGGAUGAAGGGAGCUUGCUCCUGGCUUCAGCGGCGGACGGGUGAGUAAUGCCUAGGAAUCUGCCUGGUAGUGGGGGAUAACGUCCGGAAACGGGCGCUAAUACCGCAUAAGUCCUGAGGGAGAAAGUGGGGGAUCUUAGGACCUCACGCUAUCAGAUGAGCCUAGGUCGGAUUAGCUAGUUGGUGGGGUAAAGGCCUACCAAGGCGACGAUCCGUAACUGGUCUGAGAGGAUGAUCAGUCACACUGGAACUGAGACACGGUCCAGACUCCUACGGGAGGCAGCAGUGGGGAAUAUUGGACAAUGGGCGAAAGCCUGAUCCAGCCAUGCCGCGUGUGUGAAGAAGGUCUUCGGAUUGUAAAGCACUUUAAGUUGGGAGGAAGGGCAGUAAGUUAAUACCUUGCUGUUUUGACGUUACCAACAGAAUAAGCACCGGCUAACUUCGUG